AAGUGGGGCAAGCCCACUCCCUUUUUCUUCUACCAAGGCAUUAUAACUUUGGGGCUCUUUCUUGGUUUCGGACGAGAGAAAUUGCCAAAGUGGCGUGGUGAGUUGGAAAGAGUGGGAAUUUCAUUUGCUCUAUCCAGAUUGAGGCUAUCGGAAAUCGUUCGAAGAGAAUUUGGCAUUUCGAGAGAGAGACGCGUUCCGAUUAUGAGGCAAGUGAGGCUUAAACUCUUAGUUUACUUGCUUUUCAUAAAAAGCAUAUGGUUGUGUUGUAUGUAUACAUUUAAACCGUUUAGUUCAUGUGAGUGGGCAAGCAUGAUCUAAAUUGGAUAAUUUCCAAGUUUCUAAAGUAAUGACCGUAUGAGUCCUUUAGCGUAAAUUCGCUUAAAUAGAUACUUUUUAAAUAAAUGUAAAGUUUGAAAAUGGUAUUGAUUGGAUGUAUGUUCCACUUAUCGUAUUUUUAGAGGGGCAUAUUUCCAUGGGUCCCAUUGAUGUUCAGUGAGAGAUUGAUGCUAGAAUCUUAAGUGACCCGGGUAAGAUGGGGGUAAAUAAUACCCUCUCCGGAAGACGGGGUAAGACAUAGACAAAUACGUACUAUGUCCCGUAAGCGUAGAUUCAGAUUUAGAGUACUUCAUGUUUUGGCUGGUUGUGCUUCAUGAUUUUUGCUUUAGUUUCAGUGUUUGUAUAUAUUUAAUAUACUUGUACUGUGUAAUUGCUUUUAUGCAUUAUUAGGAAUUUCAAAGACUUGCCCCAGGGGUAAGCUGAGAGUGUCGAUGAUCUUGCUGGGUCUUUUAGACUCAUACUUGUUGAUGUUAUAUGUGUGCAGGUGUGGUUAACGGUGACCAGAUAGCCGAUACUUGAUUCAUUCCAGCUUUGUUCAGUCCAGUUCAGUAGAGGUGAGCCACCAUUAGAUCAUGGCGGCCUCUUCUUCUUUAAGUUGACUUAGUAAUAUUCCGAGCUACGUCUCGUACUUUUAUAUUCAGACUAGCAAUUCCAUGACUUAGAUAUUUUAUGGGGUUUAUGGGCAAGACUCAGUAUUUGUAAUUCGCUUCCGCACUUUUCGUUAUAUUAUGAGACUUUGCGUA